AACGAACGCUGGCGGCAGGCCUAACACAUGCAAGUCGAACGAACCCUUCGGGGUUAGUGGCGGACGGGUGAGUAACACGUGGGAACGUGCCUUUAGGUUCGGAAUAACUCAGGGAAACUUGUGCUAAUACCGAAUGUGCCCUUCGGGGGAAAGAUUUAUCGCCUUUAGAGCGGCCCGCGUCCGAUUAGCUAUUUGGUGAGGUAAUGGCUCAACAAGGCUACGAUCAGUAGCUGGUCUGAGAGGAUGACCAGCCACAUUGGGACUGAGACACGGCCCAAACUCCUACGGGAGGCAGCAGUGGGGAAUCUUGCGCAAUGGGCGAAAGCUUGACGCAGCCAUGCCGCGUGGAUGAUGAAGGUCUUAGGAUUGUAAAAUCCUUUCACCGGUGAAGAUAAUGACUGUAGCCGGAGAAGAAGCCCCGGCUAACUUCGUGCCAGCCGCCGCAGUAACAC
rnacentral:rRNA from 1 species